ACAUAGUUAGCUAUUAUUAUUAUUAUUUAUUAUUAUUGUAUCAUAGAAGGAUUAGUAUGGCAAUGAUAAUGAUGGUUGAAUCAGAAAGAAGUUGAGUAGAAGUAGAUAAACUUAUUUAGAGGUUACAACCAUAAAUGAGAUAAAAUUUAUAAAGUGCUUAGAAUGCCUGGCACAUAGUAGGUGCUUAAUAAAUGUUUGUUUCUCUCCUUUAUAGCAUCACUCAUCUCUGAACAGCAUGUAUUUCUUCUAUAACUCCUCUAAAGGGGGAACUGUGUGUAUUAAUACUGUAAAUGAAAAAUAUUUUUCUGCGAUGUCACUGGAUUCUAGAAUGGAUGACAUCCUUGGAAACAAGGAGGAUGAAGAAGGCAUGGUCUUGAGGUCCCUCAUUAUGAAGGCAUCAUACUUUCAUGGAAAUCAAUGGAUCACUAUUUCUGUCUACAG